rnacentral:rRNA from 1 species
UAGCAAUACUUAGUGGCAGACGGGUGAGUAACAUGUAGGUAUCUGCCCUUUGGCCUGGAAUAACACGAGGAAACUUGUGCUAAUACCGGAUAAGUCUUUACGGAGAAAGCUUUAUGCACCAUUGGAUGAGCCUGCACUUGAUUAGUUUGUUGGUGGGGUAAUGGCCUACCAAGACUGUGAUCAAUAGCUGAUUUGAGAGGAUGAUCAGCCACAUUGGGACUGAGACACGGCCCAAACUCCUACGGGAGGCAGCAGUGGGGAAUCUUGCACAAUGGAGGAAACUCUGAUGCAGCGAUGCCGCGUGAGUGAAGAAGGCCCUUGGGUUGUAAAGCUCUUUCGUCGGGGAAGAAAAUGACUGUACCCGAAUAAGAAGGUCCGGCUAACUUCGUGCCAGCAGCCGCGGUAAUACGAAGGGACCUAGCGUAGUUCGGAAUUACUGGGCUUAAAGAGUUCGUAGGUGGUUGAAAAAGUUAGUGGUGAAAUCCCAGAGCUUAACUCUGGAACUGCCAUUAAAACUUUUCAGCUAGAGUAUGAUAGAGGAAAGCAGAAUUUCUAGUGUAGAGGUGAAAUUCGUAGAUAUUAGAAAGAAUACCAAUUGCGAAGGCAGCUUUCUGGAUCAUUACUGACACUGAGGAACGAAAGCAUGGGUAGCGAAGAGGAUUAGAUACCCUCGUAGUCCAUGCCGUAAACGAUGUGUGUUAGACGUUGGAAAUUUAUUUUCAGUGUCGCAGGGAAACCGAUAAACACACCGCCUGGGGAGUACGACCGCAAGGUUAAAACUCAAAGGAAUUGACGG